GAUGACCUGGGAAGAGGCCGGAGCCGAGAGCGAGGAGAAGGCGAACAGCAGGUCCGGCGCAGGAGUGGAAGUGGAGAUGC